rnacentral:rRNA from 1 species
AGUGAACGCUGGCGGUAGGCCUAACACAUGCAAGUCGAACGGCAGCACAGUAAGAGCUUGCUCUUACGGGUGGCGAGUGGCGGACGGGUGAGGUAUACAUCGGAAUCUACUUUUUCGUGGGGGAUAACGUAGGGAAGCUUACGCUAAUACCGCAUACGACCUACGGGUGAAAUCAGGGGAUCUUCGGACCUUGCGCGAUUGAAUGCGCCGAUGUCGGAUUAGCUAGUUGGCGGGGUAAAGGCCCACCCAGGCGACGAUCCGUAGCUGGUCUGAGAGGAUGUGCGCCCACAGUGGAACUGGGAUACGGUCCAGGCUUGGUCGGGAGGGAACAGUGGGGAAUAUUGGAGAAUGGGCGAAAGCCUGUGGCAGCCAAACAGGGGAGGGGAGGGAGGCCUUCGGGGUGUAAAGACGUGUUGGUGGGAAAGAAGAGCAGCAGGUUAAGACCCCGCUGGACUGACGGUACCUAAAGAAUAAGCACCGGCUAACUUCGUG